GCCUUCGUGGUGUAGUGGUCAACACGCACGGCGCGUAUUCGAGAGACCCGUGGUUCGAGUCCCGGCGAAGGCA
rfam:Stegodyphus mimosarum contig74955, whole genome shotgun sequence.